rnacentral:rRNA from 1 species
UACGAAGGGUGCAAGCGUUGUUCGGAAUUAUUGGGCGUAAAGCGCGCGCAGGCGGAUUGAUAAGUCAGGUGUGAAAUCUCGAGGCUCAACCUCGAAACUGCGCCUGAAACUAUUAGUCUAGAAUGUCGGAGGGGGCAGGGGAAUUUCACGUGUAGGGGUAAAAUCCGUAGAGAUGUGAAGGAACACCGGAGGCGAAGGCGCCUGCCUAGACGACUAUUGACGCUGAGGCGCGAAAGCGUGGGGAGCAAACAGG